rnacentral:rRNA from 1 species
AAGUCUGGUGCCAGCAGCCGCGGUAAUUCCAGCUCCAAUAGCGUAUAUUAAAGUUGUUGCAGUUAAAAAGCUCGUAGUUGAAUUUCGGGGUUAGUAGGUUGGUCAUGCCUCUGGUAUGUACUGGUCUCACUGAUUCCUCCUUCCUUAUGAACCGUAAUGCCAUUAAUUUGGUGUUGCGGGGAAUUUGGACUGUUACCUUGAAAAAAUUAGAGUGUUUAAAGCAAGCUAACGCUUGAAUACAUUAGCAUGGAAUAAUGAAAUAGGACGUUCGAUCUUAUUUUGUUGGUUUCUAGGAUUGACGUAAUGAUUAAUAGGGAUAGUUGGGGGCAUUAGUAUUCAAUUGUCAGAGGUGAAAUUCUUGGAUUUAUUGAAGACUAACUACUGCGAAAGCAUUUGCCAAGGAUGUUUUCAUUAAUCAAGAACGAAAGUUAGGGGAUCGAAGACGAUCAGAUACCGUCGUAGUCUUAACCAUAAACUAUGCCGACUAGGGAUCGGAUGAUGUUAAUUUUUUAAUGACUCAUUCGGCGCCUUACGGGAAACCAAAGUGUUUGGGU